CCUCUCUCUCUCUCUCUCUCUCUCUCUCUCUCUCCGCUCCUGCUCUCCGUCUGGAUAAGUCCUCUGACGUCGCCAUCUCUUAUUUGAAUGAGUUUCAAAUCUCAUUUUAUGGCUCGCCAAUCAUUUCAUUUGUUGUUUGUUCGCCGCUUCAGCCCUUCCAAUUUCUUGUGUUACUUCUCAAAAAUUUUAUUAUCCACAAAAUGCGGAGCAGCAAUGGACUCAGCUGGCUUGGGAAGAGCUGCCAGAUUUUCAGAACAAUGCCACCCUCAUCAUCACCGUUAACGCCUCUCUCCUCCUCAGAUACAUCCCAGAUCCCAACACGCCACUAUAUUAUCCUCACAUAUCAAUGUCUGCCAGUGUCUGUUGUGGCUGGCCCUGUCAGAAGCUUAGCAUGUGUGCAAUCAAAUCACUUCCUUCUGUAUCCUGCAGAUUAUGAAAAGCGAUUAAUGAUUACACGCUGCACCAAACUGAAAAAUUUGAAGGAGAUGAAUUGACCUGAGUGAGAGGUUUUACAGUGCUACACAGAUUGAUGCUGAGCAUGACGAUUGGAUAUCCAAGUUGCGUCCCAAAUGAUGCACUAUACACUCUUAGGAAGAAAAGCUGUCACUGGGGUGGCUGUCACAGUUAUGGACUCUUAUUUUGAUGUUCUGUUUUGUUUCUCUUUAGUUCCUGUUUCCCUGCUCUGCUUGGUUUCCUUGGUUUCUGAUUAUGUCCUUGUUUGUUUCUAUGGUUGCUUAUAAUUAUCAACAGUGUCUUAUUUAUUUCAUUGUUAUCUCCUUACUAUUUAAGUCCUGAGUUUGGUUCUGUUCCUCGUCUGGUAUUGUGUUUAUUUAUACAAGCUGUUACGCUGCCUUUGUUUACUCCUGUGAUUCCUGGAUAAUUGUGUUUCAUUUGAUUAAAGGACUAUAGCUAAU